GCCUUCGAGGUGUAAUGGUCAGCACGCUCGACGUGUAACCGAGAGGUCCGUGGUUCGAUUCCCGAGGAAAGCA
rnacentral:tRNA from 1 species